UUGACGGUACUCUGGGAAUAAGCAUCGGCUAACUCCGUGCCAGCAGCCGCGGUAAUACGGAGGAUGCGAGCGUUAUCCGGAUUUAUUGGGUUUAAAGGGUGCGUAGGCGGAUAGAUAAGUCAGUGGUGAAAUUCUGCAGCUUAACUGUAGACUUGCCGUUGAUACUGUCAGUCUUGAGUAUGGUCAAGGCAGGCGGAAUGUGUAAUGUAGCGGUGAAAUGCUUAGAUAUUACACAGAACACCGAUUGCGAAGGCAGCUUGCUGGGCCAUUACUGACGCUGAUGCACGAAAGCGUGGGGAUCGAACAGGAUUAGAUACCCUGGUAGUCCACGCCGUAAACGAUGAUCACUCGCUGUUGGCGAUACACAGUCAGCGGCUAAGCAAAAGCAUUAAGUGAUCCACCUGGGGAGUACGGCCGCAAGGCUGAAACUCAAAGGAAUUGACGGGGGCCCGCACAAGCGGAGGAACAUGUGGUUUAAUUCGAUGAUACGCGAGGAACCUUACCUGGGCUUAAAUGUAGAGUGCAUUGGUGAGAAAUCAUCAUUUUCUUCGGAACUCUCUGCAAGGUGCUGCAUGGUUGUCGUCAGCUCGUGCCGUGAGGUGUCGGGUUAAGUCCCAUAACGAGCGCAACCCUUAUCGUUAGUUGCCAGCGGGUAAUGCCGGGGACUCUAGCGAAACUGCCGGUGUAAACCGAGAGGAAGGUGGGGAUGACGUCAAAUCAGCACGGCCCUUAUGUCCAGGGCUACACACGUGUUACAAUGGCCGGUACAGAGGGCAGCUACCUGGAGACAGGAUGCGAAUCUCGAAAGCCGGUCUCAGUUCGGAUCGGAGUCUGCAACUCGACUCCGUGAAGCUGGAUUCGCUAGUAAUCGCGCAUCAGCCAUGGCGCGGUGAAUACGUUCCCGGGCCUUGUACACACCGCCCGU
rnacentral:rRNA from 1 species